rnacentral:ribozyme from 1 species
AGAUGGCUUUGCUCUGGUAAUGGAAUAAGAUUCGAAGCCUCUUAAAGGUCACACAGGCUCCCCCACUCAACUCGUACUCCGUAACGUCCUCGUCAAGCAGUGUGGCAACUUGUGGUGCAUGACAAAACAGUAGGGG